AAAGUGGAGGCUAUUGUAACUGAAGAGAACUGGAAAGUUCCACCGUAGAAGGUAAUAGUCCUGUAAGUGAAACGAGAAGACCACGAGUUAUGAUCCAGAGUACCACGAGACACGUGAAACCUUGUGGGAAGCAGGGAGGACCACCUCCCAAGGCUAAAUACUACCUGAUGACCGAUAGUGAAGCAGUACCGUGAGGGAAAGGUGAAAAGAACCCCGGGAGGGGAGUGAAAUAGAACCUGAAACCGUGUGCCUACAACCGCUCAGAGCCCCUUAUGAGGGUGAUGAGGUGCUUUUUGUAGAACGAGCCAACGAGUUACGGUAUGUAGCAAGGUUAAGUACUUAAGGUACGGAGCCGAAGGGAAACCGAGUCUGAAUAGGGCGACUAGUUGCAUGCCGUAGACCCGAAACCGGGUGACCUAUCCAUGGCCAGGUUGAAGCGAGGGUAAAACCUCGUGGAGGACCGAACCACGUUGCUGUUGAAAAAGCAUGGGAUGAGCUGUGGAUAGCGGAGAAAUUCCAAUCGAACCCGGAGAUAGCUGGUUCUCUCCGAAAUAGCUUUAGGGCUAGCGUCGAGUAUGAGUAGUGGAGGUAGAGCACUGAAUGGGCUAGGGGGCAUAGCGCUUACCGAACCUUAUCAAACUCCGAAUGCCACAUACUUUGAGCUCGGCAGUCAGACUACGAAUGAUAAGAUCCGUGGUCAAAAGGGAAACAGCCCAGAUCGUCAGCUAAGGUCCCAAAGUGUAAGUUAAGUGGGAAAGGAUGUGAGAUUUCUAAGACAACUAGGAUGUUGGCUUAGAAGCAGCCAUUCAUUAAAAGAGUGCGUAAUAGCUCACUAGUCGAGAGAUCUUGCGCCGAAAAUGUAACGGGGCUAAACUUACCACCGAAGCUACGGGCUUGAACUUAGUUCAAGCGGUAGGAGAGCGUCGUAACCGGGCUGAAGUCGUACCGUAAGGAGCGGUGGACUGGUUACGAGUGAGAAUGUUGGCAUCAGUAGCGAGAUGUGGGUGAGAAUCCCACAGGCCGAAAACCUAAGGUUUCCUCAGGAAGGUUCGUCCGCUGAGGGUUAGUCGGGACCUAAGCCGAGGCCGAAAGGCGUAGGUGAUGGACAACUGGUUGAUAUUCCAGUACCACUACCAUCGUUAUUAUCGAUGGCGUGACGCAGGAGGAUAGUGUGUGCUAGCUAUUGGAUGCUAGUCUAAGCGUUUAGGCAGUGAGAGUAGGCAAAUCCGCUCUCAUAAUGCUGAGGCGUGAUGGGGAAGGUUCUACGGAACCGAAGUACAUGAUUCCACGCUGCCAAGAAAAGCGUCUAGAGAGAGAAGUAGUGCCCGUACCGCAAACCGACACAGGUAGGUGAGGAGAGAAUCCUAAGGCCGGCGGAAGAAUUACAGUUAAGGAACUCGGCAAAUUGACCCCGUAAGUUCGCGAGAAGGGGUGCCUACGAGAGUAGGCCGCAGAGAAUAGGCCCAAGCAACUGUUUAGCAAAAACACAGGUCUCUGCUAAAGCGUAAGCUGAUGUAUAGGGGCUGACGCCUGCCCGGUGCUGGAAGGUUAAGGGGAACACUUAGCGCAAGCGAAGGUGUGAACUUAAGCCCCAGUAAACGGCGGCCGUAACUAUAACGGUCCUAAGGUAGCGAAAUUCCUUGUCAGGUAAGUUCUGACCCGCACGAAUGGCGUAAUGACUUGGGCACUGUCUCAACUGUAAAUCCGGCGAAGUUGUAGUGCGAGUGAAGAUGCUCGCUACCCGCGAUUGGACGGAAAGACCCCGUAGAGCUUUACUGUAGCUUAGCAUUGAGUUUUGGUAUUGUCUGUACAGGAUAGGUGGGAGACUAGGAAACCAGGGCGUCAGCCUUGGUGGAGUCAACCUUGGGAUACCACCCUGACAGUACUGAAAUUCUAACUGGCGGCCAUGAAUCUGGUCACAGGACAUUGUUAGGUGGGCAGUUUGACUGGGGCGGUCGCCUCCUAAAAAGUAACGGAGGCGCCCAAAGGUUCCCUCAGAACGGUCGGAAAUCGUUCGAAGAGUGCAAAGGCAGAAGGGAGCCUGACUGCGACACCCACAAGUGGAGCAGGGACGAAAGUCGGGCUUAGUGAUCCGGUGGUACCUCGUGGGAGGGCCAUCGCUCAACGGAUAAAAGCUACCUCGGGGAUAACAGGCUGAUCUCCCCCAAGAGUCCACAUCGACGGGGAGGUUUGGCACCUCGAUGUCGGCUCGUCGCAUCCUGGGGCUGAAGUAGGUCCCAAGGGUUGGGCUGUUCGCCCAUUAAAGCGGCACGCGAGCUGGGUUCAGAACGUCGUGAGACAGUUCGGUCCCUAUCCGUCGCGGGCGUAGGAAAUUUGAGAGGAGCUGUCCUUAGUACGAGAGGACCGGGAUGGACUGACCUCUGGUGUACCAGUUGUUCCGCCAGGAGCACAGCUGGGUAGCUAAGUCGGGAAUGGAUAAACGCUGAAAGCAUCUAAGCGUGAAGCCAACCUCAAGAUGAGAUUUCCCAUAGCGUAAGCUAGUAAGAUCCCUUGAAGAACACAAGGUUGAUAGGUCGGGGGUGUAAGCAUGGUAACAUGUUCAGCUGACCGAUACUAAUAGAUC
rnacentral:rRNA from 1 species